rnacentral:rRNA from 1 species
UCCUACGGGGGGCAGCAGUGGGGAAUAUUGCGCAAUGGGGGAAACCCUGACGCAGCAACGCCGCGUGAGUGAAGAAGGCCUUCGGGUUGUAAAGCUCUUUAAUCAGGGACGAAGAAUGACGGUACCUGAAGAAUAAGCUCCGGCUAACUACGUGCCAGCAGCCGCGGUAAUACGUAGGGAGCAAGCGUUAUCCGGAUUUACUGGGUUUAAAGGGAGCGUAGACGGCAGCACAAGUCUGGAGUGAAAUCCCGGGGCUUAACCCCGGAACUGCUUUGGAAACUGUGCGGCUGGAGUGCAGGAGGGGG